rnacentral:rRNA from 1 species
GAUGAACGCUGGCGGCGUGCCUAAUACAUGCAAGUCGAGCGAACAGACAAGGAGCUUUCUCCUCUGACGUUAGCGGCGGACGGGUGAGUAACACGUGGAUAACCUACCUAUAAUACUGGGAUAACUUCGGGAAACCGGAGCUAAUACCGGAUAAUAUAUUGAACCGCAGGGUUCAAUAGUGAAAGACGGUUUUGGUGUCACUUAUAGAUGGAUCCGCGCCGGAUUAUCUAGUUGGUAAGGUAACGGCUUACCAAGGCAACGAUGCGUAGCCGACCUGAGAGGGGGAUCAGCCACACUGGAACUGAGACACGGUCCAGACUCCCACGGGAGGCAGCAGGGGGGAAUAUUGGACAAGGGGGGCAAGCCUGAUCCAGCCAUACCGCGGGGGGGAAGAAGGCCUUCGGGUUGGAAAACCCUUUUUUUGGGAAAAAAAAACAGUUGGUAAAUACCCCGCUGGUCUGACGGUACCCAAAGAAGAAGCACCGGCUAACUUCGUG